AUUUAUCUGUUUUACUUUUUCCCAUAUUUGCUAUGAAAUAUUUUUGCAACUGGGCCAGAAACUCAGCACUCUAUGCAAGAUACCUCAGUUUAUGUCAACUUGUUUUUACUCUUUGUAUUGUUUAUAAAAUCAGAUUGUGUAGCGUACAUAUAUUUUAUAAAAGUUAAAUUUCGGCUUCUUAGUGGCAAAAUUCUUAAUGUGUUAACUUUUCGGCCGUACCGCGUCACGAUCUAAACUUAAUUUGCAAAAAAAAAAAACUGACCUAUACACAAUAUAACAACACAGGAAUUAAAAAACUAAAAAUAAAUUAAAUUCGCAAUAGACCAGAUAUAAAAAUUUUUAUCAUUCGUGUUCCCUUUUCGGCCAUUGCAAGCUAAAAAUAAAAAAAAUAGGCAAGUAAACAAUAAACAGGGCAAAUAUAGCUAAACUGACGACAGAAGAGAAAGUGAGAAAUACUAAAGAGCGCAACG